rnacentral:rRNA from 1 species
UAAGGGCGCACGGUGGAUGCCUUGGCACUAGAAGCCGAUGAAGGACGUUACUAACGACGAUAUGCUUUGGGGAGCUGUAAGUAAGCUUUGAUCCAGAGAUUUCCGAAUGGGGAAACCCAGCAUGAGUUAUGUCAUGUUAUCGAUAUGUGAAUACAUAGCAUAUCAGAAGGCACACCCGGAGAACUGAAACAUCUUAGUACCCGGAGGAAGAGAAAGAAAAUUCGAUUCCCUUAGUAGCGGCGAGCGAAACGGGAAGAGCCCAAACCAACAAGCUUGCUUGUUGGGGUUGUAGGACACUCUAUACGGAGUUACAAAGGACGACAUUAGACGAAUCAUCUGGAAAGAUGAAUCAAAGAAGGUAAUAAUCCUGUAGUCGAAAAUGUUGUCUCUCUUGAGUGGAUCCUGAGUACGACGGAGCACGUGAAAUUCCGUCGGAAUCUGGGAGGACCAUCUCCUAAGGCUAAAUACUCUCUAGUGACCGAUAGUGAACCAGUACCGUGAGGGAAAGGUGAAAAGCACCCCGGAAGGGGAGUGAAAUAGAACCUGAAACCGUGUGCUUACAAGUAGUCAGAGCCCGUUAAUGGGUGAUGGCGUGCCUUUUGUAGAAUGAACCGGCGAGUUACGAUUUGAUGCAAGGUUAAGCAGUAAAUGUGGAGCCGUAGCGAAAGCGAGUCUGAAUAGGGCGUUUAGUAUUUGGUCGUAGACCCGAAACCAGGUGAUCUACCCUUGGUCAGGUUGAAGUUCAGGUAACACUGAAUGGAGGACCGAACCGACUUACGUUGAAAAGUGAGCGGAUGAACUGAGGGUAGCGGAGAAAUUCCAAUCGAACCUGGAGAUAGCUGGUUCUCUCCGAAAUAGCUUUAGGGCUAGCCUCAAGUGAUGAUUAUUGGAGGUAGAGCACUGUUUGGACGAGGGGCCCCUCUCGGGUUACCGAAUUCAGACAAACUCCGAAUGCCAAUUAAUUUAACUUGGGAGUCAGAACAUGGGUGAUAAGGUCCGUGUUCGAAAGGGAAACAGCCCAGACCACCAGCUAAGGUCCCAAAAUAUAUGUUAAGUGGAAAAGGAUGUGGCGUUGCCCAGACAACUAGGAUGUUGGCUUAGAAGCAGCCAUCAUUUAAAGAGUGCGU